UUCUUGUAGCGGCGAUGUUGACGUUCAGCAAGGGUCAGACUGGACAGGUUAGUAUAUCAGACCUGGUAUUCUUGUAGUGGCGAUGUUGACGUUCAGCAAGGGUCAGACUGGACAGGUUAGUAUAUCAGACCUGGUAUUCUUGUAGUGGCAAUAUUGACGUUCAGCAAGGGUCAGACUGGACAGAUUAGUAUAUCAGACCUGGUAUUCUUGUAGUGGCGAUGUUGACGUUCAGCAAGGGUCAGACUGGACAGGUUAGUAUAUCAGACCUGGUAUUCUUGUAGCAGCGAUGUUGAUGUUCCGCAGGGGUCAGUCUUAGGUCCAGUACACUUUACGCUUUCCGUCAGCUGUCAACACUGCCGGCCUCUGUGAGUCCCCUGCCUUCCUCUGUAGCUCACUCCGCCCAUGACUGUGCGUGUACCUUACGUGUGGGCGUCUUCCCCUGCACCCCUUGGCCAUGCAUGCCUGUUUGUUUAUUUGGCUAGACUAACGCAUAGAAGGUGACGGCAAAGCUACAUGGUGCGAGGCGUCAGACGUAGAGAUUGACUGGGUUUGGUUCCCUAAGACUUGCCUCUAUGAAACUGAAGUCUGUUUCUUUAAUUAAACGUACCAGGCUCCCAUCAUGACUAUUCUCACAGCCCACAGAGAAGAGUAACCGGGUUUUCAUGGGUGUUUUCUCCCGUUCAUGGUGUGGAUGUCGUGUGGGGCUAUAACGAGACUCACAAAACAGUCCUUGAAAACCUCGGCAACUUCUUCUACAACAAGAGGCUUUUUGUGUAAGGGUUCCGAGGUGCCAAGACACUUAAGAACACGAGCUUCAAUGAGCCUAAAACAGUCCAUGAAAACCUCGGGAACUCUUCUACAACGGGAGGCUUUCUGACGUGCCGAGACAUUUUAGAACACGAGCUUCAGUGAGCCUAAAACACUCCAUGAAAACCUCAGGAACUCUUCUACAACGGGAGGGUUUUCAUGGAGGCUUUCCGAUGUGCUGAGACAUUUAAAAACAUGAGCUUCAAUGAGCCUUAAACAGUCCAUGAAAACCUCGGCAACUUCUUCUACAACGAGAGCAGCAUUACCAGAUUGUCGUACUAGGCAUACAUUUUUCGUCUACUUGAGGCCCAAAACUGUCGAGCCUAUACUGAUAAUGAUAUGCAUUUACAAUUAGAGUUCAGAUGGUUAAUUAUCGAUGUCUUUCUGCAAUUGUUAUGGAUCAGAAAUAGGAAAAUACGAUGUUCUGAGUAUGAUAAUUUGGUAACGCUGAACGGGAGGGUUUUCAUGGAGGCUUUCCGAGGUGCCGAGACAUUUAAAAACAUGAGCUAGUGAGCCUAAAACAGUCCAUGAAAACCUCGGCAACUCUUCUACAACGAGAGGAGGGUUUUCAUGCAGGCUUUCCAAGGUGCUGAGACAUUUUAGAACACGAGCUUCAAUGAGCCUAAAACAGUCCGUGAAGACCUCGGGAACUCUUCUACAACGAGAGGAGGGUUUUCAUGCAGGCUUUCCAAGGUGCCGAGACAUUUAAAAACACGAGCUUCAAUGAGCCUAAAACACUCCAUGAUAACCUCGGGAACUCUUCUACAACGGGAGGGUUUUCAUGCAAGCGUUCUGAGGUGCCGAGACAUUUAAGAACACAAGCUUCAAUGAGCCUAAAACACUCCAUGAAAACCUCGGGAACUCUUCUACAACGGGAGGCUUUUCAUGCAGGUGUUCCGAGGCGCUGAGACAUUUAAGAACACAAGCUUCAAUGAGCCUAAAACACUCCAUGAAAACCUCGGGAACUCUUCUAUAACGAGAGGGUUUUCAUGCAGGCGUUUCGAGGUGCCGAGACAUUUAAGAACACAAGCUUUUAACGAGCCUGACGCACCAUGGAGUUUUGGCCCCACGUGAAACUUCUGUACACUAAGGAUAAGAAGUGCUGUCAUGUAGCUUAAGCCUGGCCUGUGUCGAGGUAGUCAGCUUGAUGUGUAUUCUUGUGUAAGGCCGCUUGGUUAUUCAUUACAGUCCUACGUCCUUCCUUCCUCUGCCUGACCUUGUGUUAAGCCUGACCUUUUUUUUUUUUUACCUUUCUUUGAUAAAUUAAUGUGAUGUUUACUGGAUGUCGGCUGUGUGGGCUGGGCAGGUGUGUGUUUGACAGGUGUGUGUGUGUGUGUGUUUGCCCAGGUAAUAUACAGGUGUCCAGCAGGUGUGUGUGUGUGUUCGACAUAUGUGUGAUCCAUUCAUGUGUCUUAUUUUUCUGAUAGGUUUGUGUUCUGGUGAUGUUGGGAGUGGACUGUGUGUGUGUGCGUGUGUGUGUGCGCGUCCGCUAAACAUAUGUUGGUAAAUGCAAUGUUUAUCAAGGUUUCUGUGUUUUGUAAAUAAAUCAAGAGUAUGCGGUGUGUGUCUUGUUAGGGUGAAUUUACGAUAUGGGUGUGAGUCGCAGCAGUAAGGAUGUGUUAGCAGUUAUGUUAUGAGAGAGAGAGAGAGAGAGAGAGAGAGAGAGAGAGAGAGAGAGAGAGAGAGAGAGAGGACAGCAUCAGUACAUUCAGGUGAAACUAUAAUUAUGAAAGGAGUAACGGGAUGAGUAACAAGGGGUAUAUAGUUGUACUCCAAGCAUGUGAGCGACGUGACAGGUGUAGCAAUUUGAGGUGUAACAGAUUUAGCAGAAGAGGUGCAGUUGGCGUGCUGUACAUUCAAACAGGUGUAAGACAGGUGUGACAAGUGUACUAAUUGGUGUGGCAGGUAAAACAGCAGUGUCAGGUGUAACAGAUAUGGCAGGUGUAGCAGCAAGACCGUGACAUGAGUAAUAGCAGGUGUGUGUGUGUGGCAGGUGCAGCACAAGUGUUCACCUGGGUAGCAUGACUGUAACUGAGCUGGGCGUGUGUGUGUGUGACUCCAGGUGUGUGUCGGGGGGUUUAACAGGUGUGGUAAAUGGAGAGGAAGCAUUCGUUGUGUUGCCUGACUGUCACUGAGCCGGGCGUGUGUGUGACGGGUUUGACAGGUGUGGUAAAUGCAGUAGGAGUGUUCAGUGUGUUGUUAGAGUGUCGCUGAGCCUGGCAGGUGUGUGACAGGGGUUUGACAGGUGUGGUAAAUCCAGUGGGAGUGUUCAUUGUUUUGCUGGGCCGUCACUGAGCUGGCAGGUGUGUGACAGGUGUGGUAAAUGCAGUGGGAGUGUUCAUUGUUUUGCUGGGCCGUCACUGAGGUGGCAGGUGUGUGGCAGGGGUUUGACAGGUGUGGUAAAUGCAGUGGAAUUGUGUUGCUUGACCGUCACUGAGCCUGGUGUGUGUG